AGCUAACGUGUCAAAGGGGUUGUGUCUAGCAUGUUUCAGCAGGCAGCAACUUGUGCUGCUGCUGUUCAACCGUUAGGAGUUCAGUGGUUGGUUGUAGGUGCCAGCCCAAAUCAGGCCAGGAAAAGCUCCAGGGAGGGAGAGAGGAAGCUAGGGAAGAGAGAGAGCUACUUGGGGAAUCCAAAUAAUUUGUGGAAGAAGGUUUAAAGUAAAGAGGAAGAGCAACUUGCUGUUGGGCUGCAGAACAGAAAUACAGAAAUUUUUGGUGCACCCAGGCUUCCUAGCAAAUUUCAGGAGGAGAAGAGAGUCCCGGAAGUGUGCCGGGAGUAUCAAGCACUAGGGUGGUGCGUUAGCCAUCACAAGAUCGGCAGAGUCAUAACAUUAUAAAAGUACCGCAUCAGCAUCAUCCUAGAAGUUUGUCAUAGAAGGUUGGCCAUGCCCCUCUGAGUGAAAGGAAAAAAAAACCUUUGUAUUAUGCAUAUAGUUGGGGUGUGAAUGUAAACUAACUUGAGACAGAUGUAAAGUUUGUUAUAUUUUGAGCUAUGUAUAGUAGACUUUAAGUUAUCAAUGAAAGCUUGGGUUGCUUUUAGUUA